rnacentral:rRNA from 1 species
UACGAAGGGGGCUAGCGUUGCUCGGAAUCACUGGGCGUAAAGCGCACGUAGGCGGACUCUUAAGUCGGUGGUGAAAUCCUGGAGCUCAACUCCAGAACUGCCUUCGAUACCGGGAGUCUUGAGUCCGAGAGAGGUGAGUGGAACUGCGAGUGUAGAGGUGAAAUGCGCAGAUAUCAGGAGGAACACCAAUGGCGAAGGCAGCUCGCUGGGACGGUACUGACGCUGAGACGCGAAAGCGUGGGGAGCAAACAGG